GAUCAUGGCUCGGGAUGAACGCUAGCGACAGGCCUAACACAUGCAAGUCGAGGGGCAGCGGAGAGGUAGCAAUACCUUUGCCGGCGACCGGCGCACGGGUGAGUAACACGUAUGCAAUCCACCUGUAACAGGGGGAUAACCCGGAGAAAUCCGGACUAAUACCCCAUAAUAUGGGCUCUCCGCAUGGAGAGCCCAUUAAAGAGAGCAAUUUUGGUUACAGACGAGCAUGCGCUCCA
rnacentral:rRNA from 1 species